CCCUCCGUCUUUGGCUCCUCGCGUCCGUUCUCCAGGUUCUCUGAGCUCUCGAAACAGCCCGAAUCCCUCGGCUCCUUGGCGUCCUCCCCAGAUCUGUCCUCCUCCUCUGGCUCCAGCUCCUCUUCAGCUACACGAGGCAAAAACAACCACAUUUGCUCAGAGACAGAAACUUAUUGAAUGUGCAGGAGGUUUUCACAUCCAGCACUCAUGGAACAACAGCUGAAAUCUAACGGUUAACAAGCUCCCUGGAGGGCGGCUUGUCGAGACAGCAGACGAGGCAGAGGGCCAAACACGAAGUGAGGAGGACUUUCCCCCCCCCCGAGACUCACUUGGAGU